CGUGGUACUUCUUGUUUGUUGAUUGAUGCAAUCAGAAAUUAAUUUGAAGACCUACUCUAAUAAGCAACCUGGAUAUAUUUUGCAGUGAAAUCACGAGUUGUUUAGCCAUGUUUUUGGAAGUAUGAUGUUUUUGCACUUUGUGUUUUUCUGUAUUCGGUUCUGUCGGCCGAAUGAAAAACGUUGUCACGAAAUCAACUCACUAAGCGAAAACAACACAGUAUAGAUGUACACGUUCUGAGUUAAGGCAGUUUUCAACUAGGCGAAAUUUUUCGACCGAAU